GACGAACGCUGGCGGCGUGCUUAACACAUGCAAGUCGAACGGAAAGGCCCUGCUUUUGUGGGGUGCUCGAGUGGCGAACGGGUGAGUACCACGUGUGUAACCUGCCCUUGACUUUGGGAUAACUUCAGGAAACUGGGGCUAAUACCGGAUAGGAGCUCGUGCUGCAUGGUGGGGGUUGGAAAGUUUCGGUGGUUGGGGAUGGACUCGUGGCUUAUCAGCUUGUUGGUGGGGUAGUGGCUUACCAAGGCUCUGACGGGUAGCCGGCCUGGGAGGGUGACCUGCCACAUUGGGACUGAGAUACGGCCCAGACUCCUACGGGAGGCAGAAGUGCGGAAUAGUGCACAAUGGGCGGAGGCCUAAUGCAGCAACGCCGCGUGCGGGAUGUCGGCCUUCGGGUUGUAAUCCGCUUUCGCCUGUGACGAAGCGUGAGUGACGGUAAUAGGUAAAGAAGCACCGGCUAACUACGUG
rnacentral:rRNA from 1 species